CGGAAGGAUCAUUAUUGUAUAAUAGGAUGUGUAAAGGCUGUUGCUGACCCUUUUAAAAGGGUUGUGCACGCCCAAAGCACUCUUAAUAUAUAUUAUCCAUCUCACCCCACUUUGUGCAUCACCGCGUAGGUCCUCUUUUUAUUAAAGGGGCUUUGCGUUUUAUAUCAAACUUGUCAUACUAUAGAAUGUUAUAAUUUGCAUUUAUGCAAUUAAUACAACUUUCAACAACGGAUCUCUUGGCUCUCGCAUCGAUGAAGAACGUAGCAAAAUGCGAUACGUAAUGUGAAUUGCAGAAUUCAGUGAAUCAUCGAAUCUUUGAACGCAACUUGCGCCCCUUGGCAUUCCGAGGGGCACACCUGUUUGAGUGUCGUGAUUAUUCUCAGAAACCUUUUUCUUUUGAAAGGGUUUUUGGACUUGGAGGUUUUUAAUGCUUGCUUUAUAUCAAAAGCAAGCUCCUCUUAAAUAAAUUAGUAGGAUCUGCUAUGCUAAUCCUUAAAUGUAAUAAGAUUACUUCUACAUUAUUUGGAUUUGGUAUUGUCUUUUGGAUUCCUGCUUCUAACUGUCUUAAUAGACAACAAUAGUGG
rnacentral:rRNA from 1 species